rnacentral:rRNA from 1 species
GAUGAACGCUGGCGGCGUGCCUAAUACAUGCAAGUCGAACGAACAGACAAUGAGCUUUCGCCUCUGACGUUGGCGGCGGACGGGUGAGUAACACGUGGAUAACAUACUUAUUUUACUUGGAUGACUUCGGGAAACCGGAUCUACUACUGGAUAAUAUAAUCUACCGCUUGAAUCAAUAGUUCAAGACGCUUUUGCUGUCACAAUAAGAUGGUUCCGCGCCGUAUUGGCUAGUUGGUAAGGUAACGGCUUACCAAGGCAACGAUGCGUAGCCGGCCUGAGAGGGUGAUCCGCCACACUGGAACUGAGACACGGUCCAGACUCCUACGGGAGGCAGCAGUAGGGAAUAUUGCACAAUGGGCGAAAGCCUGAUCGAGCAACACCGCGUGAGUGAUGAAGGCCUUCGGGUUGUAAAGCUCUUUUAUUAGGGAAGAAAAAAAGUGGGAGAAACUAUGCACGUCCUGACGGUACCUAAACAGAAAGCCACGGCUAACUUCGUG